rnacentral:rRNA from 1 species
UCCAGAGGGGGCAAGCGUUAUUCGGAAUUAUUGGGCGUAAAGGGCGCGUAGGCGGCCUUUCAAGUGACGGGUGAAAUCCCUCGGCUUAACCGAGGAACUGCCUGUCAGACUGGGAGGCUUGAGACCGGGAGAGGUGAGUGGAAUUCCCAGUGUAGCGGUGAAAUGCGUAGAUAUUGGGAGGAACACCAGUGGCGAAGGCGGCUCACUGGACCGGAACUGACGCUGAGGCGCGAAAGCGUGGGGAGCAAACAGG